GUGAUUGGUAGCUGGAAACGUUUAGAAACGUUUAGCUACAGAACCUCACGAGCUGACAUAGCUACCGUUUGUGAUAAAAAACGAAGGAGGGAUAACGGUUGUCAUGGUAACGCCAAAAUACAUUCUGACAGGUACGAAAAGACUUUAAUUACGAAUAUAAAACAGUCUCACUUUAACGGCCCAGAAGUCACAGGACAGGAGGAGGAUGAUGGAGACCAUGCAGGCAAUGAAGCUGCUGCUGAGGAACUCACACAGGAGAUAGAGCAGGAUCGCUCCCACACGGAAAAACAGACUCCUCUUCAGCAUCGAAUAACGACACGUCCUCGUUAGAGUCCUACAAGUGCAGGGAAGUCACAUGACUGAUCGUAACACCAACAACAAUCAAAACACCAACCACCACAACACCAACUACAAACACCACAACAACCACCACAAGACCAACUACAAACACUACAACAACCACAAACACCACAACAACACCAAUAACCACUACAACACCACUACAACCACCACAACAACACCAACUAUAAACACUACAACACCAACUAAACACCACAACAACCACCAGAACACCAACAACCACUAUAACACCACUACAACCACCACAACGACACAAACAACCACUACAACACCACCAACACACACUACAACCACCACAACAACCACAGCCUGAACACCAUGACAACCACCACAUCAACCACAAAAACCACAGCAGCAACAACCACCACCACCACAACUACAACACCACCAACAAUCACAACAACCGCAACAAUACUACUACUCGCUCUGUAUUUGUAUAAUUUAGUGCAAAUUAUGACUUUAGUAGCUAUUUCAGUGGAUAUAUAACUGUAUAAUUAAGAAUCCACCCCAUUUUCUGCAUCAUUUGGUUUAGUCCAAUAUAUAUUAUCUGUAUGUAACAUUGGGACUGUGUAAUUCUUCAGCACAAGAGUUCACAACCUUGUAUGUAUAUAUACACACAUAUACACACACACACUAAAAACAUUUCUACAUGUUGAUUAAUUCUCUGUAACAGCAGCUCUUCGUUGUUCUGUGUGGAGAUGUUUUGUAAUGUUUAGGUCCACUGUCAGGGGUAAAGCUGUGGCUUUAUGUUUUAAGGACAGAGGAGAGUUUAGCCUAAGUGAUUCAGAGAAUCGUUCUCUUUGAAUCGACUCUUCUAAGCAACUCCGGUGAAUUAAUUUGCGCGCAUGAGAAUCAAAUGACCUGGUUACGGUUGAGAAGUGACUCAGACGACUGGGGGAACGACUGUUUAUAGCUGCUGUAAUGUAAGAGAGAACAGGAACUCACAGACAUUAACUGUAACUAUAAACGGAUAAAAAGUACACUGGAUCCUUCUUUAGUAAGUAAAACCUAUAAUUGUUGGUAAAUCGCGGUGGUAUAAAGGAAUAAGUGUGAGGAGAAGAAGAACACACGAGAAGGUUUUAUUUAUUAUUUUAAUAUCUAUAUUAAAACCCCACAUUAGUUAAUUCCGCGUCCUAGCCCCAUAUUGAAGCCUAUUAGACAAUAACGUAAAGUUUUCAGUGAUGUAUUUAACAGUAAACCAGCCUAGCUUAGCUUUCUGUCCACACCGAGGGCUCAAUCCCACAUUCACUGCCUACUGCGGUACACUACACAGCGUGAAAUAACUCCCUAUCUAAUGCACUUCAUGUCCAAUAUGACGUCAUUGGGGAUGCGGCCCUAUUUACAGACCCGAUAGUGAAACACCACACUGUGAUUAAACUCCACAGGAGAGAGAUAACUCUACAGGACAGGUGUAUACACAUAUUAAAACAAUAAGGUACAAUCUAAUAAAGAGAAAAUAGACAGGAAUUUACUGAUGUUAGCCGAGACACUCACCAUCUU